rnacentral:rRNA from 1 species
UUGAACGCUGGCGGCAGGCCUAACACAUGCCAGUCGAACGGUAACAGGAAGAAGCUUGCUUCUUUGCUGACGAGUGGCGGACGGGUGAGUAAUGUCUGGGAAACUGCCUGAUGGAGGGGGAUAACUACUGGAAACGGUAGCUAAUACCGCAUAACGUCGCAAGACCAAAGAGGGGGACCUUCGGGCCUCUUGCCAUCGGAUGUGCCCAGAUGGGAUUAGCUAGUAGGUGGGGUAACGGCUCACCUAGGCGACGAUCCCUAGCUGGUCUGAGAGGAUGACCAGCCACACUGGAACUGAGACACGGUCCAGGCUCCUACGGGAGGCAGCAGUGGGGAAUAUUGCACAAUGGGCGCAAGCCUGAUGCAGCCAUGCCGCGUGUAUGAAGAAGGCCUUCGGGUUGUAAAGUACUUUCAGCGGGGAGGAAGGGAGUAAAGUUAAUACCUUUACUCAUUGACGUUACCCGCAGAAGAAGCACCGGCUAACUCCGUG